ensembl:snoRNA
UGGACCAUUGGUCAUGACUGGAGGCAUAGGAGUCAUAUAUGGUGAAUACCAUGUGUCUGUAACCCUGAUUCCAC